rnacentral:rRNA from 1 species
UACGUAGGGUGCGAGCGUUAAUCGGAAUUACUGGGCGGAAAGUGUGCGCAGGCGGCCGCGCAAGUCGAGUGUGAAAGCCCCGGGCUUAACUUGGGAAUUGCGCUCGAAACUACGUGGCUGGAGUAUGGCAGAGGAAGGUGGAAUUCCACGUGUAGCGGUGAAAUGCGUAGAGAUGUGGAGGAACACCGAUGGCGAAGGCAGCCUUCUGGGCCAAUACUGACGCUCAUGCACGAAAGCGUGGGGAGCAAACAGG